rnacentral:rRNA from 1 species
UACGUAGGGGGCGAGCGUUGUCCGGAUUUAUUGGGCGUAAAGAGCGUGUAGGCGGCCAGGUAGGUCUGCUGUGAAAACUCGAGGCUCAACCUCGAGACGUCGGCGGAAACCAUCUGGCUAGAGUCCGGAAGAGGGGAGUGGAAUUCCUGGUGUAGCGGUGAAAUGCGCAGAUAUCAGGAAGAACACCCGUGGCGAAGGCGGCUCUCUGGGACGGUACUGACGCUGAGACGCGAAAGCGUGGGGAGCAAACAGG